AAGGUGGGGAUGACGUCAAGUCCUCAUGGCCCUUAUAGGUGGGGCUACACACGUCAUACAAUGGCCGGUACAGAGGGUAGCCAACCCGCGAGGGGGAGCCAAUCCCACAAAGCCGGUCGUAGUCCGGAUCGCAGUCUGCAACUCGACUGCGUGAAGUCGGAAUCGCUAGUAAUCGCGGAUCAGCAUGUCGCGGUGAAUACGUUCCCGGGUCUU
rnacentral:rRNA from 1 species